rnacentral:rRNA from 1 species
UACAGAGGGUGCAAGCGUUAAUCGGAAUUACUGGGCGUAAAGCGUGCGUAGACGGUUAUGUAAGUCAGAUGUGAAAGCCCCGGGCUCAACCUGGGAAUUGCAUUUGAGACUGCAUAGCUAGGGUGCGGAAGAGGGAAGCGGAAUUUCCGGUGUAGCGGUGAAAUGCGUAGAUAUCGGAAGGAACACCAGUGGCGAAAGCGGCUCUCUGGAACGGUACUGACGCUGAGACGCGAAAGCGUGGGGAGCGAACAGG